rnacentral:rRNA from 1 species
AUACGUAGGGUGCAAGCGUUAAUCGGAAUUACUGGGCGUAAAGCGUGCGCAGGCGGUUUUGUAAGACAGAGGUGAAAUCCCCGGGCUCAACCUGGGAACUGCCUUUGUGACUGCAAGGCUAGAGUACGGCAGAGGGGGAUGGAAUUCCGCGUGUAGCAGUGAAAUGCGUAGAUAUGCGGAGGAACACCGAUGGCGAAGGCAAUCCCCUGGGCCUGUACUGACGCUCAUGCACGAAAGCGUGGGGAGCAAACAGGAUUAGAUACCCUGGUAGUCCACGCCCUAAACGAUGUCAACUGGUUGUUGGGUCUUCAUUGACUCAGUAACGAAGCUAACGCGUGAAGUUGACCGCCUGGGGAGUUCGGCCGCAAGGUUGAAACUCAAAUGAAUUGACGGGG